UGGCGCGUGGGGGCGUGGCGCGUGGGGGCGUGGCCAGUCCACUGUGACCGUGACCGCUGCAGGUCACGGGUGCAGAUGUGCUGCAGGCUGCGAUGAACGCAUGAACAUCCCAAGCUUUGGAACGCGGCCCUGGGACGGGACCGGGUCAGAACGUACCGGGGACCAGGUCCACUUCGGUCGUGGGCGUGCUGGGCACAGGGUUCACGAUCCAGGGCGUGGCGUGGACGGCGACGCUCCAGUCGCUCCACGUUCCGAUCUCGGUGUCCUUGGCGGCCACCUGCAGAACCCACGGACAGAACGCGGUCAGUGGGUUGGAGGCGCCGCGAUAGACGCACCUGUGUGACCUGGUCCCACCUGGAUGAUGUACUCCUUCCCAGCGUAGGCAUCGGUGAUGGUGUGGGAGACGCUGUCAGAGAGCUCCACCUGAACAGGAAACAGAGGCCAGAGGUUUAGGGUUCGACAUCUGGAGCGGACCUCAGGGGAACUCACUGGAGUCUGACUGAAGUGAAGCCAGACCGCUGCUUCGAGGGAGACUAAAACAGCGUUUCUGCACAGCACAUGCCUUUAACAGCACCUGUCACACUUCACCAAGUGAACUGAAGCCUCGCUUCAAACAGCAAAGGCCCAGAAAAAAACGUGUCCCAAGUGUAUAAAAAAAUAGAAAAUCUAAGAGACAGACAGGUUCAGUCAGUUAUUAUAUAGCUCCGUAAAUAAACAGUUAAUAGUGUGCAUUUCUGCUGGGUUUGAAUAUGCAUUUACACUGUCCAC